UUGCAAGCAUCUCUUCCAUCCCCCAUGUCUGAAACCAUGGCUGGAAAUGAGUUUCAUGCAAGGUGCAAGCUCGAUGCAAGAUAUUGAUUUAGCAACAGAUUUAACGUGCUCUCCGAGAUGAUGGGCCAUUGUAAUUAAAUAGUGCAUAUGAUGUGGUGGUACACUGGGUUUUGCAUUGUAUAGUAGGAUUAAGUGAUAAAGGAGAGGAAAUAUUAAGUCAAAAGCACAAACCCAAUCAAGUGGAUAUGAUGUGGUAGUACACUGGGUUUGGCAGAUUUGGCGGUACACUGGGUUGAUCUGAAUAUUACAUCGUGGCCUAUUGACAUGAUUGAUUCUAUCCCAAAGCAGUAUGAUGGAUAGGUCUGCAUGUGGUGUUUUUACAUUGGUGUACAUGGCCUAUUGGGAUGGAACAGGUUUGGGACAUCCAUUCUGACAAGUAUGUAAUUAAUUCUUUUAGUAACAAGCACCAUAAUACAUGAUAGCUGGGGUAGGCUGGUGCAAGCUGGUGGCAGGCAAUUGUCGCCCUCAUCAGUUCCCUUUGCUGAGAUGUCUGCGGCCUGGUUGGGAACGAGGACAGCAUUGCUGGACCUAAAUGUCACUCACCUUCAAGUGGAGGGGGAUUCAUGUACAGUGAUUAAAUGGUUGGCCAAUAAUUCAUCCGGCACAUUUUCUUCUCACCCUAUGAUGUCGGAUCUGAGGGAAUGGAGGAAUAGGCUGCAGGCAGUUAUUGUUUCUCAUGUU